CUCUUGACUUCCUCUCAAGCUUGGCGUUUGGUCGGUGGGGACCCACGCGGGUUCAACAUGCGUAUCGAGAAGUGUUAUUUCUGUUCGGGGCCAGUCUACCCUGGCCACGGCAUGAUGUUCGUCCGCAACGACUGCAAGGUGUUCAGGUUUUGUAAAUCCAAAUGUCAUAAAAACUUUAAAAAGAAGCGCAAUCCUCGCAAGGUCAGGUGGACCAAAGCCUUCCGGAAAGCAGCUGGUAAAGAGCUUACAGUGGAUAAUUCAUUUGAAUUUGAAAAACGUAGAAAUGAACCUAUCAAAUACCAGAGAGAGCUAUGGAAUAAAACUAUUGAUGCAAUGAAGAGAGUUGCAGAGAUCAAACAGAAACGCCAAGCCAAAUUUAUAAUGAACAGAUUGAAGAAAAAUAAAGAGCUACAGAAAAUUCAGGACAUCAAAGAAGUCAAACAAAACAUCCAUCUUAUCCGAGCC